rnacentral:lncRNA from 1 species
AUGUUGCUUACUUAUUGCUUUCAAUACGCACACACCAUGUUCUGCGUCAAAGAGCACAAAAUGCAUCUCUUGCCUAACAAUGGACAAAAUAUUUUGCUGAAAGAUUUGAUAAAAUUGACGUUUAACGAAGUUGGCAGAGAAAGACGGGUGGUGUGUCCGAAUGUACGGGAAGAAGGGUUCUCUGUGUUUGGUUUGAUAUCUGGGACGUGGGCUCAGUUUGAGUAUACUUGGUUCUUCAGCCAUGCCCACAGUGACCAAUACUGGAAUUUUGGGUUCACAGCUCUGCACGUGGUUACUCUGGAAAUGUGGCUAAAAGUGAAGAUGGCGAGUUAUAGCACACUCACUGUCCUGAUCUGUGGAUCAUUUCUCUUGUCCUACCGAGUCUUAGUGUCCUCCUGCUUUCAUAAAGUGGAGGAAUGCCUAACGUGAAUGAGGUGGAUCAAUCCUACGCUGAACCAUGGAUGCCUGCAGCAAGUGCAGCGAGAGAUUCUUCUUCUCCAGGUCAUUUAUGUGUGUCUGUUUUAAGGUAAAUUCAGCAGGUACUGCUGGUUUCCCAAGAUGCAGAUAAACCAUGAAAUUGCACUUCAGAAUAGAUUAUUCUGCUUGAUCUGUGUCUAGAAUCAAUAUAUUUUGUAUGUUUUUGCUUAUUUGUUGUUAAAUCAUAUCUUAUUUAGGAAGACUUGUGUGUAUGUGUGCUUCAGUAGUCACGACAAGUUCUUAAAAACUAAUAUUCAGCAUCAGCAGCCAGAGCCUGAGCGAGCUGGAUAUCUGGAGCUUUCCACCAAGUAUGUGCAUUAACUGCCUAGUGAUGCUGCAUUAGUGCCAGUUCCAAAAGAAAGAGGCUUUUGAUGGUUUGAAUCCCAGUCAUGCAGCUUGCCAUCAGUUGUUGGAGCCCAGAGGGAGCACAGUUGGCCUUGCUCUCUCUGGGUGGGUACAGUAGACUCCUAGGGGGAUGUGGAUCAGCACAGGGCUGCAUCUGUGAGCUGAUGUAUCGGAACCAAGUCGCUGCGCUUUCCUCCGAGUGUUAGCGCUGUGAUGCUACUCGGCAAUGUUGUAAUUGGCCUUAUAAAUUGGGGAGAAAAUGGUAUUAAAAAUUAUAAAUAAUUUUUGCUGGGAGUUUUGGGGCUCAACUGGCUAAGCUAAAUUAAUAAUAAGCUAAAUAAAUAAAUGUUCUUUUUAACA